GGAAGGAUCUAAUCCUAAUUUUUGACACCAACUAACCUCUUUCCUUUAUCUUGUUGCAUGCCAUUUUUGAAGAAUUUUAAUGGGAUUAAAAUACCUAAAUGGUGUGGAGAUAAAGUGGAUAAGGUUUGGCGCAUGGUUGUUAGUGCAUGACAUUUUAUCUUGGCAUGCAGAAUGGUUAAGAGUCCUUCUGCAUGUUAAUCAUCUUUUUGGGAUAAAGAUUAGAGGGCCA
rnacentral:lncRNA from 1 species